rnacentral:rRNA from 1 species
UCCAGACUCCUACGGGAGGCAGCAGUAGGGAAUUUUCGGCAAUGGGGGGAACCCUGACCGAGCAACGCCGCGUGAACGAAGAAGUUAUUCGUAAUGUAAAGUUCUUUUAUCAGGGAAGAAAGAGGAAUUUGACGGUACCUGAGGAAUAAGCUCCGGCUAACUACGUGCCAGCAGCCGCGGUAAUACGGAGGAUGCGAGCGUUAUCCGGAUUUAUUGGGUUUAAAGGGUGCGCAGGCGGAGGCACAAGUCAGGGGUAAAAUGGGGGGGCUCACCCCCGCUCCGCCGUUGAAACUGUGUCCCUUGAGUGCGCGAAGGGUAGGCGGAAUGCGUGGUGUAGCGGUGAAAUGCAUAGAUAUCACGCAGAACUCCGAUCGCGAAGGCAGCCUACCGGCGCGCAACUGAUGCUCAUGCACGAAAGCGUGGGUAUCGAACAGGAUUAGAUACCCCCGUAAC